AUGGCUCAGGACGAACGCUGGCGGCGUGCCUAAUACAUGCAAGUCGAGCGGACUUGAUGGAGUGCUUGCACUCCUGAUGGUUAGCGGCGGACGGGUGAGUAACACGUAGGUAACCUGCCCAUAAGACUGGGAUAACCCACGGAAACGUGAGCUAAUACCAGAUAGGCAUUUUCCUCGCAUGAGGGAAAUGAGAAAGGCGGAGCAAUCUGCCACUUAUGGAUGGACCUGCGGCGCAUUAGCUAGUUGGUAAGGUAACGGCUUACCAAGGCGACGAUGCGUAGCCGACCUGAGAGGGUGAUCGGCCACACUGGGACUGAGACACGGCCCAGACUCCUACGGGAGGCAGCAGUAGGGAAUCUUCCGCAAUGGACGAAAGUCUGACGGAGCAACGCCGCGUGAGUGAUGAAGGUUUUCGGAUCGUAAAGCUCUGUUGCCAGGGAAGAACGCCU
rnacentral:rRNA from 1 species